rnacentral:pre_miRNA from 1 species
AAUAAACCAAUUUUUCACUUUUUAACUUUAAUUUUUAACUCUUCGUCUUAUUUAAAAUUUUUUGCGAUUGAUAUUUUUGUUUUUAUUAGAUGAUAAAUUAUGAAUAGUACUUUACGUGUGAUUAAUUUUUUUCUAAUUUCCUAAAAAAUUUUCAAAUAAGACAGAUGGUCAAACGUUGGACACGGAAACUAAG